rnacentral:rRNA from 1 species
CCUACGGGGGGCUGCAGUGGGGAAUAUUGCACAAUGGGCGCAAGCCUGAUGCAGCCAUGCCGCGUGUGUGAAGAAGGCCUUCGGGUUGUAAAGCACUUUCAGCGGGGAGGAAGGCGGUGAGGUUAAUAACCUCAUCGAUUGACGUUACCCGCAGAAGAAGCACCGGCUAACUCCGUGCCAGCAGCCGCGGUAAUACGGAGGGUGCAAGCGUUAAUCGGAAUUACUGGGCGUAAAGCGCACGCAGGCGGUCUGUCAAGUCGGAUGUGAAAUCCCCGGGCUCAACCUGGGAACUGCAUUCGAAACUGGCAGGCUAGAGUCUUGUAGAGAGGGGUAGAAUUCCAGGUGUAGCGGUGAAAUGCGUAGAGAUCUGGAGGAAUACCGGUGGCGAAGGCGGCCCCCUGGACAAAGACUGACGCUCAGGUGCGAAAGCGUGGGGAGCAAACAGGAUUAGAUACCCUUGUAGUC